UAUUUUUAUUUGUUUCGGUUUUAAAGUUUUGAUUCGGGUACAUCUGAAUAAAUUUUCACAAACUUGACAAACCCAUAUAACAAGAACUUAGAGGAAAUAAAAAAAGAACAUUGCAUCCCAGAACCCCCCUCCUGCCCCCUUCCAGUACCUACUUCCAACAUCCGAAGAAUAAUGAUUACCUAGACUUCUAACAGACUUUAUGUAAAUGGAAUCAUAGUGCAUGCAUUCUUUUUGUGUCAGGGUUUUUCACUCUUUGUAAGUUUCAGCUACCUCAUGUACAGCUGAGGGUUCUUCAUAUUCUUCCUUGUUUGAUAUUGCCUACAGUUUCGCUCUUGUUACCCAGGCUGGAGUGCAAUGGAGUGAUCUCGGCUCACGGCAACCUCUGCCUCCUGAAUUCAGGCAAUACUCCUACCUCAGCCUCCUGAGUAGCUGGGAUUACAGAUCUCACCAGACUGCAUCCUGCCAUAAGGUUCAAAAGCUGCUGUGUCUCUUCUUCUCUGAAGCCCCUUUGAUGUCCCCUGCCUGCAGCCAAGACCAUGACUGGAGUGCAGUGGUGCAAUCUUGGAUUAUGGCAACCUCCGCUUCCGAGGUUCAAGAGAGUCUUCUCCCUCAGCCUCCCGAAUAG
rnacentral:lncRNA from 1 species